rnacentral:lncRNA from 1 species
UGAGCUGUUGCGUCUAUAAGUAGAUGCUAUGGCUUCAGCAGUCAACUUCAGUACUUUCCCCAAACUACUAGAAAAGCACAGAAGAGGGACUGGGGAAACAACAGUGGAGUCCAGACUGACAAAGUAAAGACGAAGCAGAAUGGAUUCCUAUGAAAGAAGCUGGCUGUGUUCCUCGACUCAUGUGUUUCAUAGAGCUGCUAAGGGACUACACUAGGUCUCUCCACCCCACAGUCCUCCAAACAUCCAGCUGCUCCAACCAAAGACCCAGAAGACUAGAGAGCAACAAGGUGUACGAGACCAUGAUGUGCCCUGAAUCCUUCCUGAGCUGCACAAAAUUUAAUUACAUCCAUUGUAUUUAGUAUUCAAAAUAUACUGGCAGCCCAUCUAUUCGGUGAGAAAC